rfam:Ovis aries breed Texel chromosome 13, whole genome shotgun sequence.
UUCCUGGUGGUUCAGUGGUUAGCGCGCUAUACUUCCACUGCAGAGAGCACAGGUUCGAUCCCUGGUCAGGGAA